UGCCGAGACAGGGGGGUCUGAUAGAAUAUUCCAGCCAGACCCCCCCACCUGGUCUCCUCUCCAUCCCUGGCCAGAUGCUAGGAUGCCUAGUGACUAUGAUAGCAUCCUAUCCUGUACCACAGACGCAUUCCUCUGCAACAUUCACUGUACAGACUGCAGAAUUCCCAGGACAUACCUGCACCUCUGGACACUAGCUUCUGGCUGACAACUGGAUGGCAGUCUCGUUUACCAGAUGAGUGCAACCACUAGAAGCAUCUAUGCCCAUCACUGGGUUUGGAGGAUAUACACCAUGUUGUUUAAUUUUUGGCCCAUCGCCUGAGUUUUGGAACCAUGAUACUGAACACCCAGAUGUAAAGAGGACACUCCGUUGCCGAGCAACUACUAGAGGACAACAGUGUUAAGAUUGUCCGACACCUACGUAUGUUAUGUAUAUGACGUCACACCUUAGUUAGCCCCAUUCAGUGAUGAGGACAAGUGGGACUCAGAAUAAACCUUAGAAGUGCCAAGGACCGGUCGUACACUGAAGGAACGCAAACCACUUCAAAGUUACGCUACUUACCAGUCGCGCACAAGCAUCUACUGGUGGCCGGGGUCACGGAAGACUAUGACAGAUUUUGGUGUUCAACCCGUUGUACUGCAGAAAAAUACGCAGAGUCGGGAGACUGGUGAAGGCCACUAAAUACGUCAUAACCCUAUCCUAGAACUUACACACUUAUGGUUUUGACUAGUGAAAAGUGUGAUCAUCAAACCUGGACCCCUAACACUACAGGGAAUUACUGUAGGUCUGUAAAUGAAGGAAGAACUCCCCUAAAAAAAAAAAACUUUCAGGGUUGUCGUAAUAUUUUGCGGUUAUUACAAGAAUAUACAAUACCUUAUUGAGCUACAC